AAUGCUUCAGCAACAUUCUUAUACUUCUAUCUUGGUGCACGUGUUCAAAUUUUUCUGGAUUGGCCUGGAUGGAUUUCUGGAAGUGGCCUGAUCUGAGGGGCUACGCAUAUUAAAACAUUGAAUCCCUACUGCUAAACUGCCCUCCAGAAACGGUCAAGAGGAUGAAGGAAUGAUCUAGAUGCACCCAUUCUUUUCUCAGGAAGCUAUGAAAUGGCACUGUCAGGCCCUCAUCCUGAAGAUGACGAUAACCCUUGAGAAAGACCUGCAGCCAGAGCUGCUCCCGGAUUCCUGCUCCCGACAGGCUGCAUGUGAUGGGAUAAAUCAGGCAUCCGCCAUUAUAGGAGGCUCAUGGUGUUUUUGCAAGUCCUAUCACCAGGUGUCGCCAUAGUACACCUCGGCGUGCUGCUCACGUUGGUGACUUCCAAGGAUUAUUCUUUCAGCGAAUUUUAAAUAAAUACAUCAUGCAACUUAAAACAGCCCAAAGAGCGUAAUGCGGAUGAAACAGGUGAAGAGACACACUGUUCAAGAAGACCAAUGAAAUACAAACCAUGGCCACAUUCUUGAUGUGACUUGGCGUGGAAAUCUCCUUAUCCCCUUCAUGUUGGGAUUCUAUCAGUUAGCGGGGUGUUCAUGUACCACAGAGGCUGCUCUCCAGGAAAGCUCUGACAAACCAGGUGGAAAACUGUCCCGAUAACCAGGGUGAACUUGACUCUUCCCUGUUGCGGCCAAAGAACAUUCAUUCUGUGGAGAUAAGAAGCAACCCAUCUGCAUCCUUUCGAUGGUAGGAAGCAGGAAGCACACACAGCCCGGAAUACGAGGAGGAGGCCCCCACGGACAACUGGAGAAGGAGCAAAGCAACCAAGUGGUUCUUGAAGGGGAAUGGCUUAUGCCAUGAGGACCAAAAGGCUUCUGCCCAGAUGACUGCGAAUUUAUAAAAGUGGUUAGAAAUAAGGACUGGACAACUGGGGGUUUUUUCCUCCUGUUUUCUGUACCCAGAAUCUACACAAACAUCAAACCUAUUGGCUCUGGACAUUUUAGACGACGGGAGUACUAGAAGAACGACACUGUACUACUAAGGUGAGCAGCUGAACGCUCAACAGCAGUAUGGUCAUUUCAUAUCCAGGGGUUCAAAGAAUCUGGGGUUCAAUCAUUUUCCUUAACUGAUAAGCCAUGUUAUCCCAGAUCAAUGAUUUUUACCUCUUAGGCUUUACUUUUCUCAGCACAAUGGGAACAUUCACUUGGGAAACACUCCACUUGAGUUGUCCUUAGGAUUGCAUAAUAAUAAUUUAUUUGUGUGCACUUACUAUAUGCCCAGUGUAUACUAAAUGCUUUAUAUACAUAUUACCUCAUUUAAUUCACACAACCCCCUCUCAGAAGUAGGACUGCUAUUACCUCAGUUUUACAGAUGGGUAAGGUGAGGCACUGAGAGGUUAAGUAACAUGCCCAAAGUUAAAGCUGGUCAAUGUUGGAGCCUGAAUUCGAACUCAGGCAGACUUAUUCCAGAGCUUGUUCAUUUCUUAGUGGGCUACCAAAAAACUGAACAACGAUGACAAAAAGAGCAGACCCCCAACCCCCCAAAACCCAAACCAACAACCAAAAACAAAAAACAAAUCCUGGAAUAUCACUCAGCCAUUAGAAACGACAAAUACCCAC